GACGAACGCUGGCGGCGUGCCCAAUACAUGCAAGUCGAGCGGACUGACUGGGAGCUUGCUCUUUUUCGGUCAGCGGCGGACGGGUGAGUAACACGUGGGCAACCUGCCCGCAAUACCGGGAUAACUCCGGGAAACCGGAGCUAAUACCGGAUAACACCGACGACCGCAUGGUCUUUGGUUGAAAGGCGGCUCACGCUGCCACUUGCGGAUGUGCCCGCGGCGCUUUUGCUAGUUGGGGAGGUAACGGCUCACCAAGGGGGCUAUGCGUACCCGGGCUGGGAGGGUGGCCGGCCAAAAUGGGAAUGAGACACGGCCCAGACCUCUACGGGGGGCAGGAAGAGGGGAACAUCCGACAAUGGGGGAAGGCUGGAGGCGGGAAGCCGGGGGGGCGGAGGAGGGCCUCGGGUCGUAAAGGUCUGUUGGGAGGGACGAAGGAGCGCCGUUUGAAGAAGGCGGCGCGGUGACGGUACCUAAAGAGGAAGCCCCGGCUAACUACGUG
rnacentral:rRNA from 1 species